rnacentral:rRNA from 1 species
GACGAAUGCUGGCUGCGUGCUUAACACAUGCAAGUCGAACGGUGAAGGAGGGCUUGCCCUCCGGAUCAGUGGCGAACGGGUGAGUAACACGUGGGCAACCUGCCCCUCACUCUGGGAUAACGCCGGGAAACCGGCGCUAAUACCGGAUACGACCAGGCGCGACAUCUCGCCUGGUGGAAAGAAUUUCGGUGAGGGAUGGGCCCGCGGCCCAUCAGCUUGUUGGUGGGGUAACGGCCCACCAAGGCGACGACGGGUAGCCGGCCUGAGAGGGCGACCGGCCACACUGGGACUGAGACACGGCCCAGCCUCCUACGGGAGGCAGCAGUGGGGAAUAUUGCGCAAUGGGCGAAAGCCUGACGCAGCGACGCAGCGUGAGGGACGAAGGCCUUCGGGUUGUAAACCUCUUUCAGCGGGGACGAAGCGAAAGUGACGGUACCCGCAGAAGAAGCACCGGCUAACUACGUGCCAGCAGCCGCCGUAAAAC